AGCGAGAUAGAGAAGCUAGGAGUACUCGCGAGGCUCAUAACCUCGAGAUCGGUGGAAAUAGAGGCUUAGUUGCCUUAUUGCCGUAUUCAAAUCCACCUCUCGCUA
rnacentral:tRNA from 1 species